rnacentral:sRNA from 1 species
GAUACCAGGGUCAAAAGGUCAGAAGUUCGACGCAAGCUUGCUUGCAGGAGAAUUUUUGACCUUGGGACCCGCACAAACAUGAGUAAGUAGCCAUUUUUCAAGGAAAAAUGAGCGGAUUACGAAUGUUUUGAAGAUUGCGGAAGCACAUAGUGCGGAGCAAUCUGGU